rnacentral:rRNA from 1 species
GACGAACGCUGGCGGCGUGCUUAACACAUGCAAGUCGAACGAAGUGGCGAACGAGUGAGUAACGCGUAAUCAAACUGCCCUUCAGAGGAGGACAAAAGUUGGAAACGAAUGCUAAUAGCGCAUACUGACGCAGGGGCUUGAGUCUAAUUAGAUAGUUGGAGGGGUAACGGCCCACCAAGGAAAUGAGCAGUAGCCGGUCUGAGAUGAUGAGCGGCCACAUGGGGACGGAGACACGGCCCAGACUCCGACGGUAGGCAGCAGUGGGGAAUCUUCCGCAAUGGACGAAAGUCUGACGGAGCAACGCCGCGUGAGUGAUGACGGCUUUCGGGUUGUAAAGCUCUGUUAAUCGGGACGCGGUACCGGAAUAGAAAGCCACGGCUAACUACGUGCCAGCAGCCGCGGUAAUAC